GAUGAACGCUAGCUACAGGCUUAACACAUGCAAGUCGAGGGGCAGCAUGAACUUAGCUUGCUCAGUUUGAUGGCGACCGGCGCACGGGUGAGUAACACGUAUCCAACCUGCCGAUGACUCGGGGAUAGCCUUUCGAAAGAAAGAUUAAUACCCGAUGGCAUAGUUCUUCCGCAUGGUAGAACUAUUAACGAAUUUCGGUCAUCGAUGGGGAUGCGUUCCAUUAGGUUGUUGGCGGGGUAACGGCCCACCAAGCCUUCGAUGGAUAGGGGUUCUGAGAGGAAGGUCCCCCACAUUGGAACUGAGACACGGUCCAAACUCCUACGGGAGGCAGCAGUGAGGAAUAUUGGUCAAUGGACGAGAGUCUGAACCAGCCAAGUAGCGUGAAGGAUGACUGCCCUAUGGGUGGUAAACUUCUUUUAUACGGGAAUAAAGUGAGGCACGUGUGCCUUUUUGUAUGUACCGUAUGAAUAAGGAUCGGCUAACUCCGUG
rnacentral:rRNA from 1 species